CGCGCAGGCGGUCGGAUAAGUCGAGUGUGAAAGCCCCUGGCUCAACCAGGGAGGGUCAUUCGAUACUGUUCGACUCGAAGGCAGGAGAGGGAAGUGGAAUUCCGGGUGUAGUGGUGAAAUGCGUAGAUAUCCGGAGGAACACCAGUGGCGAAGGCGACUUUCUGGCCUGUUCUUGACGCUGAGGCGCGAAAGCUAGGGAGCAAACG
rnacentral:rRNA from 1 species